CAUCAGAGACCUGAGACGAUAUUAAGCCUGUCAACAUCACUACGUACAUCAGGGUGGCUUGCUCCCCACAAGCAAACGCUAGUAGCCUAGCAGCUGUGCCAUGGCGGACUUUGCGCCGAACUGGGCCACGAAGGCUGGGCUCAGCCUGCUAACCGUCAACUCGGCGUUCGCCAUCUACCGCUCCGGGGGCAACCUCGCCUCCGUCCUCUUCAUCUCAGGCUCGUACCUCGCCCUGCUCCUCCUCUUCCGCCGCCUCCGCGAAUACGAGCGCGCGCCGCCGGGGUCCCCGGCCAGGGAGCGGGCGAGGCGCGCCGUGUGGCCGCUCACCGCGCUGCUCACGCUGGGGUUUGCCUGGAAGGUCGCCGCGGUCAUGCCCUCGCCCGCCGCGGCCGCCGUCGUGUGGGGCCUAGGGUUCACCUUAUCGGUCGGUAACCGGCGGUUACCGCCAAAUUUUCCCGAUACCGCUACUAGGCGGUAACCCAUACCGGCGGUAAAUUUUAAAAAAUUUCGCCGAAAUUUAAAAUUUUCAAAAAAAUUUGAAAUAAAAAAGGAAAAAAAUAUGGUAAUAAAGUAGAGAUGACAUACAUCAUUCUAAUAUAGAACAUGUUCAAAUAUUUGACUGUUUGGGCAUUCAAAAAAAUAAAAAAACUGCAUUGUGAGCGGUAUUCUCUAAUCACGAGCGGUAUUCGGCGUUUUCCGAGCGGAAAUCGGCGUGUUUGGACCGGAAACCACUGCAUUGCAAAUGGUGGAUCUGGUGUGGGAGCAUGGAGAGAAGAGAGGCAAUGGAUGGAAGUGCAACUAUUGCCAUCAACAGAGGAAUGGGGGAGGAGCAACAAGGCUUAAGGAGCAUUUGGCGCAACGGGAUGUAUAUUGACGAUGAUGGUUUGUAAGGACUACGGUUGUGAUGAUUUGUAUGGACUAUGAUUGUGAUGACUUCUAUGGACUAUGGAUGUGAAUUUCUAUUUUUAUGGAUAUGAACUUUUAUUCUAUGUA